CCUAUCAUUCUCCUCUUUUCGGGCUACCCGAUCUGCCCUUAUGCCUGCCCGUCCCACUGCUCUCUUCCAAGUACCAAGUACACCUUUCCUUUUUGCCGUUUAGCUCUCUCUUUGCCGUUUACCAAGUACCAAAGACCUAUUUUCAUUUAUUUAUUAUAAUUUUUGGGGUUAUUUUUUCUUUUUUUAUAUUUUUAAUUUUUAUCUUUCUCUCUCUAAAUUCUCUCGUUUUCUCACUCUAAAACGCUCUUGGAUCGAAAGGCGGCUCGAAAUCUGAACCUCCCGAUUGGUGUUGCUCUGUUGGAUCCGUGCGUAGAUUAGAUUUGAUUGAUUAUUCCGCCGAGAGAAGAAAACCCUUUUAAUGGGUUUUGCAGAGUGCGAAUUGGUGAAUUGGGGGUGGAUGUGUAAUUGAAGGGGGAUAGAGGAUUGAUGGUACUCGUUGGGAUUAAAGUUGGGAUCGAGGCUGAAAUUGGGGAAAAUGCAAGGCUAUGCAUGGGAGGGAAGGUGAAGAGGGGAAACGGAGUCGGCACAUGUGGACAGUCCCUAGGCGUGUAGUUGCAGUCGAUGGUUCUUCUUCGUCGUGUUCAUCUUCACCCAAUUCGUUUUACAAGGACGGACGCAAGAUCACCGUUGGUGACUGUGCUCUGUUUAAGCCUCCUCAAGAUUCACCUCCUUUCAUUGGAAUAAUUCGUUGGGUAACAACAGGCAAAGAUAAUAAGUUGAAAUUAGGUGUAAAUUGGCUUUAUCGUCCAGCUGAAGUAAAGCUUGGUAAAGGCAUCUUGUUGGAUGCUGCGCCGAAUGAACUUUUCUAUUCGUUUCAUAAGGAUGUGAUUCCUGCAGCUUCGUUACUGCAUCCAUGUAAAGUUGCAUUCCUUCCUAAAGGUGUUGAACUUCCAUCUGGUAUUUCGUCUUUUGUGUGCAGACAGCUUUAUGACAUCACAAACAAGUGUUUAUGGUGGCUGACGGAUCAAGAUUAUAUUAAUGAACGACAGGAAGAAGUAGAGCAAUUGUUAAAUAAAACAAGAGUAGAAAUGCAUGCAGGUGGCCGAUCUCCAAAGCCAUCAAAUGGUCCAACUUCAACUUCACAGUUAAAAGCUGGCUCUGAGAGUAACCAGAACAGUUUGUCUUCCUUUUCAUCUCAAGUCAGGGGGAAGAAGAGAGAGAGAAUAGAGCAGGGCUCUGAUCCUUUGAAACGAGAGCGCUUUACGAAAACAGAGGAUGGGGAUUCUGGUCACUGUAGGCAGGAGAGUUUUUUAAAAUUUGAGAUAUCCAAGAUAACUGAAAAGGGGGGACUUGUUGACUCUGAAGGAGUUGAGAAAUUGGUGCAGCUCAUGCUACCUGAUAGAAAUGAAAAGAAAAUAGAUUUGGCUGGUCGGUCAAUGCUUGCUGGAGUUAUAGCAGCCACAGAUAAAUUUGAUUGCCUUAGCCGAUUUGUGGAGCUGCGUGGUUUGCCUGUUUUUGAUGAGUGGCUCCAGGAAAUUCAUAAGGGAAAGAUUGGUGACAGUAGUGGAUCGAAGGAUGGUGAUAAAUUAAUUGAGGAGUUUCUUCUUGUUUUACUUCGUGCACUUGAUAAGCUGCCUGUGAAUCUUGAUGCCUUGAAAACGUGUAAUAUUGGAAAGUCUGUGAAUCAUUUGCGAUCUCAUAAAAACUCAGAAAUCCAGAAGAAAUCUAGGAGUCUGGUUGAUACAUGGAAGAAACGUGUUGAAGCUGAAAUGAAUAUCAAUGAUGUGAAGCCUGGCUCUAAUCAUGCUGUCUCCUGGGCUGGAAGAUCAGCUCGUCUACCUGAAGUUGGAAACAGAAAUUCAAGUGGACCAUCUGAUGUUGCUGUAAAGAGCUCAGUUGGACAGGUUUUUCCUUCCAAAUCUGUUUCAGUUAAGCUUGUCCAUGGCGAUAGUACUACUAGGUCUGCUUCUGCUUCUCCAGGGUCUGUAAAGUCAGUUCCGUCCCCCGGAUCAGCUGGUAACAACAUAAAGGAUGGUCAUUUUCGAAAUGCCAGCGGUGGCAUGUCUGAUGUUCCUUUGACAGCCACUAGAGAUGAGAAGAGCAGCAGUUCUAGUCAGUCUCACAACAACAGCCAAUCGUGCUCUAAUGACCAUGCCAGAGCUGGAGUUGUUUCUGGCAAGGAUGAUGCAAGAAGCUCAAGUGCUGGUUCAAUGAAUGCGAAUAAGGUGUCUGGUGGCUCAUCACAACCUCGAAAACCAAUAAAUGGAUUCCAAGGCUCUCUACCAGGGAACCAAAAGGAAACUGGGUCUAGCAAAAGUUCUUCACUGCAUAAGAACCCAAUAGACAAAUCAUCAAAUUCUGGAUUGACUGGUGAUAAGAUGUCGGAAAGGACUACUGUUGACGGGAAUACUCAUAAAUUGAUAGUCAAGAUUCCAAAUCCUGGUCGUAGUCCUGCACGAAGUGGUGGAGGUUAUUUUGAAGACCGUUCAAUCAGGAGUAGUAGAGCUUCUUCUCCUGUGACUUCAGAGAAGGCGGAUCAAUUAGAUUCUGGCUUGAAGGAGAAAAGCGAUGCUUGUAAAGUUAACGCUGCUUCAGAUGUAAAUUCUGAGUCCUGGCAGAGUAAUGAUUUUAAAGACAUGCUUACUGCCUCUGAUGAAGGGGAUGGAUCACCUGCUGCUUUGACUGACGAAGAACGUUGUAGGACUGUUGAUGAAACAAAGAAAGUUGCAGAGGUUUCAAAAACUGCAUCCUCAUCAUCUGGAAAUGAGCAUAAAUCUGCAAAUCUUCAAGAACCUUCCUGUACUUCUAUGAAUGCUUUAGUUGAAAGCUGUGUGAAGUUUUCUGAAGGUAAUGGCUCGAUGUCUGGUUCUGAUGAUCUUGGUAUGAACCUGCUUGCUAGUGUGGCUGCUAGAGAGAUGUCCAAAUCUGAUUUGGUUUCUCCAUUUGAUUCUCCACAGAGAAACAAUUCCGUUGAACCCUCCUCUACUGGUGAUGAUUUAAAGGUAAAAUUACUAGCAGAAGGUGAGCUUGGACAAAACAAAUGCCUGUUCACUGGCGGUUCUAAUAAUGAGAAUGGGAAGCAUGCUAGUGAAUCUGAUAAUCUUAUGGCUAAGGAUAAAGAAGAUAAAACAGCAUUUCUGUCUGACCAUACACCUACGUCUGAGCACACGGUACGUGUAGGAUCUCCCAGUAAGGAUUUUAAGCAAGCUGAAGGCAUUGAAGACAGCAAAGGAAAGUGUAACGAUGUUAGUUUAGCUUCUCCUGUGAUCUCUCCUUCGAGGGUAAGUGAUAAAGCUGCAGACAGGGAAGGAGGCAAACCAACUGGUGGGAAGUCAGUUGAAGGGGGAGUAAAAACUGAGGGCAGUUUAGAUGUUAAACACAAUGUAAGUGAUCCUUUGUUAAAUGAAAAUAAGAUCACAGAAGCAGGCACAAUGAAUGAAUUCAAGACAGAAAAUCUAGGAAGAUUGUCUCCACACUCAUCAUUGGCAACUGAUGUCAAGGUGAACCUUAAGAAUGAAGAAACAGACAGUAUUGAUAAGACAGAUGAAAAGCAGGCCGUUUCAGUGAUGCAAUCCGACCUUGUAAAUGGGGCUUGUGAAGUAAUAUUGCCUUCUGAUCAUGGAAAAGAUUUGGUUUCAGAAAAAGCAUGUGAAAUAAAGUCCGAGAAGCGUGAUAUUAUGGGUAUUAUGCCUCAUGUUAGUGAGUCUGUAAAUCAAAGAAAUGAGCCAGAAGGUAACUCUCUUACAACCUCAGAGAAUCGGGCUGUAGGUGGCGUAAGUAGUGUAACUCAACAAAGUAGCAACUCUUUGGAGCAUGACCUCAAAAGUAAAGAGGUAGAACAAUGUGGUGGUGGCGAGCAGGUUUCUAACAUAUUGCCAUCUGCAUGUGAUGCGCAUGAGGCAGAACAACUUUUGAGGUCCAGGGAUUCUAAGUUGACUCGAAUGGAAACCAAUGAAGCUGGGGAGUGUGCAUCAAAAUGUGCGGCUGAUGUUUCUUCUAUCUCUUCUGUUGGGGUUUCAGGUUCAGAUGCGAAGGUGGAAUUUGAUUUGAAUGAAGGAUUUAAUGCUGACGAUGGGAAAAUUGGAGAUGUAAAAAUCUCAGCACCUGGAUGUUCACCUACUGGUCAUCUGAUUAGUCCAUUGCCUUUUCCAGUUACUUCUAUGUCUAGUCCCCUUCCUUCUUCCGUAACUGUGACGGCUGCAGCAAAAGGUCCUUUUCUUCCACCUGAGGACCUAUUACGGAGCAAAGGGGUACUUGGUUGGAAGGGUUCAGCAGCUACAAGUGCAUUUCGUCCGGCUGAACCGAGAAAAGUUGUAGAUAUGCCUGUUGGUGCAGUGAACAUCUCACAUGCUGAAUCCACUUCUGGGAAGCAAGGACGCCCUCCUCUGGAUAUUGACUUAAAUGUACCUGAUGAAAGACUUUUAGAGGAUAUGACAUCUCGGUAUUCUUCACAUGAGACAAGUUCGACUUCCAAUGCAAUGAGUAAAAGUGGUCGGGCUUGUGAUCAAUCCACAAGUGCAGCACCUUUUCGUAGUUCAGGAGGACUUGAUCUUGAUUUGAACCAGGCUGAUGAGACUUUAGAUAUGGGCAGUUUCACAAUCAACAAUAGUCGUCGAACUGAGAUUCCAAGUAUGCUAGUCAAUUCUUCAUCUAGGGGUACUUUAGGUGGGGAUGUAGGUGUUCGGAGGGAUUUUGAUUUGAAUGAUGGACCUUCUGUGGAUGAGAUGAGUUCUGAACCUGCACAUUUUAUUCAACAAGCCAGGAGUAGUGUUCUAUCUCAACCAUCUGUUUCUGGUUUUAGGAUGAACAAUACGGAAGCAGGGAACUUCUCAUCAUGGUUUCAUACAGGGAACAACACUUACUCAGCUGUUACCAUUCCCUCUGUUAUUCCUGAUCGAGGGGAGCAGCCUUUCCCAAUUGUUGCAGCUGGUGGACCACAGAGGAUGAUGGGUCCCCCCGGUGGUGGCAAUCCAUUUACUCCUGACGUUUAUCGAGGAUCUGUCUUGUCAGCUUCACCAGCAAUGCCUUUUCCUUCUACCUCAUUUCAAUAUCCAGUUUUUUCAUAUGGAACCAGUUUCUCGAUGCCCCCAAGCACUUUCGCUGGAGGUCCUACAACAUACUUGGACUCAUCUUCUGGUGGAAGGGUUUGCUUCCCAGCAGUGCAUCCACAGUUGUUGGGAACCUCUGCUGGUGGGGUUUCUUCCAACUACCCAAGGCCUUUUGUUAUUAGUCUCCCGGAUGGUAGCAAUAACAGUAGUGGCGAGAGCAGUAGAAAAUGGGGAAGGCAGGGUUUAGAUCUUAAUGCUGGGCCUGGAGGCCCAGAAAUAGAGAGUAGAGAUGAAUCUUUUCAUCUUGCACCAAAGCAGCUGUCUGUUGCCAGUUCACAACUCCCAUUGGAUGAGCAAAUGAGGAUGUUCCAGAUGCCAGGUGGCACUUUGAAGAGGAAAGAGCCCGAGGGAGGGUGGGAUGGCUUCAAGCAAUCGCCAUGGCAGCAGUAGGGUCGUGUGUUAGUGAUUCUGGUGACAAAAGAAACUUGUAAGUUGCUUAUAUGUAAAUUCUUACUGUAGUGUGCAAGACUGUGGAUUUAAUAUUUGAUUGAAUCUGCUGUCAACCUCUUGCAAAUGCCUCCAGUCGAAUUAUAUAAGAUCAUACGGAGCAUUUUUUACUGUUCUCCUUGAUUGGAUUUAUCUUUGGCUCAACACACCGCAGAACUGUCUUUUUAGUUAUUGGUUCAUUCAGAUGAAUAACAAUUGACUUCCUGCCUAUCUGUGAUUGUAAAUUUUGUAUAGGGGAAUACAUACAACUCUAUCUUUGGCCCUAGAUUCAACAUAGAAAUUUAUGGAUAGAAAGAAUAUAGAACAGAUAAGAGAAAUGGUUAAAGAGAAUUCUAGAAGGAAGUUAAUGAGCCGAGACAAUUCAAGCAAUUAAUAUUUUUGUUGACGUGUAAUAGCAAAUGAAGACCAUUUUUUUCGUUCUUUCUUCUCUGGUUAAUAUACUUUAUUUUGAACUAAACUGCAGGCUAAUUUUUAAUUUUGCUGAAUCAUGCACAUUCAUAUCUUUCUUGUACAUCCAAAGUGAUUUGAGGAUGAGCAUUUGCUAACUCCUGAGGUCAUCAUCUAACUUGUGUGCUUCUUGGGGAUGGGUGGUAAGUGAGUGAUUUGAUGUUGUUCCUAGUCUCCGACCCCCACCUCUUUGCUGUAUCAAUUGUAUCUUGAAGGGAAUUCGUUCGGGUCGUCAAGGUGUUGUUCCGUAAAUUUGUUAUGGGUGGCUGCAGAUCAGUUUCCCUUUUGUAGAUAUUUAACUGUUCGCACACACACUAUAUCCUAGGAAUCUCAAUGUUGGUGCCCAUACUGGUUUUAAUGCUUCAACUUAAUAUACAAUUGGACCCAAAAUCAUGUCUUCAACCCUGCCAAUAAUGGAGGUUGGAUUGUUCAAAUCUUUACCCAAAAGAAAAAAAAAAGCAUCUGUAUGUGUUUUGUUAAUUUUCUCUUAGGCUCAUAUUAGUAUAAUAGAUAUUUAUAUAUACAUAAAGCAGAGUGGCGGUCAAAUUUUGGCUCCCAGCUUUUCUUGA